UAGGGAAUCUUCGGCAAUGGGGGGAACCCUGACCGAGCAACGCCGCGUGAGUGAAGAAGGUUUUCGGAUCGUAAAGCUCUGUUGUUAAGGAAGAACGAGUGUGAGAAUGGAAAGUUCAUGCUGUGACGGUACUUAACCAGAAAGGGACGGCUAACUACGUGCCAGCAGCCGCGGUAAUACGUAUGGGGCGAGCGUUGUCCGGAAUUAUUGGGCGUAAAGGGUACGUAGGCGGUCUAUUAAGUCAGGUGUGAAAGCGUGAGGCUUAACCUCAUUAAGCACUUGAAACUGAUAGACUUGAGUGAAGGAGAGGAAAGUGGAAUUCCUAGUGGAGCGGUGAAAUGCGUAGAUAUUAGGAGGAAUACCGGUGGCGAAGGCGACUUUCUGGACUUUUACUGACGCUCAGGUACGAAAGCGUGGGUAGCAAACAGG
rnacentral:rRNA from 1 species